ACGGUGAGUAACACGUAUCCAACCUGCCGUCUACUCUUGGCCAGCCUUCUGAAAGGAAGAUUAAUCCAGGAUGGCAUCAUGAGUUCACAUGUCCGCAUGAUUAAAGGUAUUUUCCGGUAGACGAUGGGGAUGCGUUCCAUUAGAUAGUAGGCGGGGUAACGGCCCACCUAGCCAACGAUGGAUAGGGGUUCUGAGAGGAAGGUCCCCCACAUUGGAACUGAGACACGGUCCAA
rnacentral:rRNA from 1 species